rnacentral:tRNA from 1 species
GGGUCCGUAGCUCAGUCCGGAGCAGCUUGCGGUCCACGCAAGCGCGGACAAUUUAGAGCGCUGGUCUUAUAUGUCUACGCUCUAUACAACUAAGAGAGCCAGUGGUCUGGGGUUCAAAUCCCCGCGGACCCA